AUGCGCAUUGCUCGUUGCGGGCGGGGCUGGCGAGAGCGGGAAACCGGGACCGGCAAAAACCGGGACCGGAAUCGGGACCGGGACCGGGACCCACCGGGGCCGGGGAGCCCCGGGAGCCCCGGGAUGAGGCGGCGGCGGCAGCGCGGGGGCGGCGCGGCCCCGGCCGAGGCCUGCGGGGUGUGGCUGGACACGGCCGAGCUGAAGCGGGUCCCGGCGCGGGUGAGCCCGGGGGGGCGGGCCGGGGGUGCCGGCCCAGCCGCGGGGCCCCUCAGGCGGGCCGGGGAUGCCGCGGCGCUGGAGGAGAGAGCUCGGCUUGGCUUUGUUGUUAUUCUGUCAUUUCUCAGGCGUUUCUUCCCGCAGCCCCUCAGCGCCAGGCUGAAAGCAGCCAGCCCCGGGCCCGGCAGGAGGCAGAGCACCAUCCCCGCCUUCUUCAGCCCCCUCACAGAUAAAAGAGACAAAGAAAACUCCAGGCCGACCCCCUGCACCCCAAAUAAAGGCUGUGAGCCCUCGGGGGCUCCCCUGGCUGCCUGUCCUGUGAAGAUCCUGGCCUUGCCACAGCUGGAGGGAGCCCGGGAAGAGCUCCCUGGAGCCGAGCAGGGGGUGCAGGGCACAUCCCAGGCAUGGAAAACACCCCUGGAUCCCCUGGAGCUUCAGGUGGAGUCUCAGAGCCAGAGCAAAGCCUCCGGUGGGGCUGGGGGGGAUUCCUGGUGCUGCAGCCUCUCCCAGGGCUCGGAGCACAGCGGGAUCGGCGCUCACGGGAACAAAUCCCGGUUAUUUCCUGGAGAAACGGCCUCAGGGAGCAGGAAAGCACAGCCCUGGAGCAGAGUUACUUCUGGGCCAGGUUUUGCUGGGACUGAGAACACGAAUCCUGUCCCAGGGGCUGCUCCCAGCGGGGUUUGCUGCUCUCCUCAGCCCCUCAGGGAGCGGGGCCAGACCCCGGAGGGCUCCUGCGGGCAGCUCUUCUGCCAGGACUCCCAAGGGAACAGGGUCAUUGCUCACAGGGCCAGGGGCAGCUCCCUGGGGGCCAGCCCCAGCCCCAGCCAGCCCUGGGGGCUGCAGUCCCUGUUCACACAGGACUCGCAGGGGAACAGGGUCAUCAAGCACUGCUGAGUGCCCCCAGCACCUCUGUGUUCUCUGAGAUCUUGCUUUAAUCCAAAUAAAAGGUUGGAGUUUGGUUCUAAGGGCUUGGAU
rnacentral:lncRNA from 1 species